GUGUUCGCUGAAAGGAGAGGCGGUUGGCAUUUUCCCUGACGAGGACGGGAACAGCCUUCGGGCGUACCUGUUACCACACAUCGGUUAAGGCUUCCCACUUCGGUGGAUACGCCUUAGUGA
rnacentral:ncRNA from 1 species